GCCAGGAUGGCCGAGUGGUUAAGGCGGUGGUUUUAAGUUCUUUUAUGCUUAGCUCACCACUAUCGCGAGAUUCCAGGGUUCGAACCCCUGUCCUGGCA
rfam:Beauveria bassiana D1-5 contig00719, whole genome shotgun sequence.